ensembl:miRNA MIR656 microRNA 656
CUGAAAUAGGUUGCCUGUGAGGUGUUCACUUUCUAUACGAUGAAUAUUAUACAGUCAACCUCUUUCCGGAAUCGAAUC